AGUCGAGAGAAGAGUUUGAUCAUGGCUCAGGAUGAACGCUAGCGGCAGGCCUAAUACAUGCAAGUCGAACGGCAGCGCGGGUAGCAAUACCUGGCGGCGAGUGGCGCACGGGUGCGUAACGCGUAUGCAACCUACCUUUCACAGGGGUAUAGCUCGGAGAAAUCCGAAUUAACACCGCAUAAUAUUGUUUGAGAGCAUUUGAAGACAAUUAAAUCUACGGAGGUGAAAGAUGGGCAUGCGUCUGAUUAGUUAGUUGGUGAGGUAACGGCUCACCAAGACGAUGAUCAGUAGGGGGUCUGAGAGGAUGGUCCCCUACACUGGUACUGAGAUACGGACCAGACUCCUACGGGAGGCAGCAGUAGGGAAUAUUGGGCAAUGGGCGAGAGCCUGACCCAGCCAUGCCGCGUGCAGGAAGAAGGCCUUAUGGGUUGUAAACUGCUUUUGAUUGGGAACAAAGAGACCAUGCGUGGUUUGUUGAGUGUACCAAUAGAAUAAGCACCGGCUAACUCCGUGCCAGCCGCCGCGGUAAU
rnacentral:rRNA from 1 species